rnacentral:misc_RNA from 1 species
CUCAUCUUUGAUCUUUCUUCAGACUUAGAAUCAGUGUAUAAGAAAGAAACAGUGAAACUGCACUCACUUGGAAUACACAUUAAACAACCUUGGCCUUCUUUUUGUUUUCACUGUCACAGUGUCACUGUGUAUGUAUGAAAACAUUAUCUUGAGUGCUUAAUGUGUUUAGGGAGGGCAGUUAAUCUGCCAUGACAUUGGGUUGUGUUAAUAUUUGAGUGUAUCAUAUGACCUGGAUUUGAUUAGUUGUUUUGUCAGAUUCUAUAUGCAUGAGAAUGCACAGUUAAUAAUCUCUUCAUUAUUGUGAUGCAUGUUUGUUGUGAUUCAGGGAACAGACAGAUCAGCGUCUGG